UACGGGGGGGGUAAGCGUUGUUCGGAAUUACUGGGCGUAAAGGGCUCGUAGGCGGCCAACUAAGUCAGACGUGAAAUCCCUCAGCUUAACUGGGGAACUGCGUCUGAUACUGGAUGGCUUGGAUUUGGGAGAGGGAUGCGGAAUUCCAGGUGUAGCGGUGAAAUGCGUAGAUAUCUGGAGGAAUACCGGUGGCGAAGGCGGCAUCCUGGACCGAGAUUGACGCUGAGGAGCGAAAGCUAGGGGAGCAAACGGG
rnacentral:rRNA from 1 species